rnacentral:misc_RNA from 1 species
GAUCGGCGCCAAGUUCUGGGAGGUCAUUUGCGAUGAACAUGGCAUUGAUCACACCGGCAAGUACAGCGGCGAUUCUGAGCUUCAACUCGAGCGUAUUAAUGUCUAUUACAAUGAAGCCAGUGGCGGAAGGUAUGUUCCCCGUGCUGUUCUUAUGGAUCUUGAGCCUGGAACCAUGGAUUCCGUCAGAUCCGGACCCUACGGCCAGAUCUUCCGUCCCGAUAACUUCGUUUUUGGUCAGUCUGGGGCUGGGAACAAUUGGGCUAAGGGACAUUACACUGAAGGAGCUGAACUUAUCGAUUCUGUUCUCGACGUUGUCAGG